rnacentral:rRNA from 1 species
CAGUCGCCACGGUAAUGCGUAGGUGGCAAGCGUUGUCCGGAAUUAUUGGGCGUAAAGGGCUCGCAGGCGGUUUCUUAAGUCUGAUGUGAAAGCCCCCGGCUCAACCGGGGAGGGUCAUUGGAAACUGGGAAACUUGAGUGCAGAAGAGGAGAGUGGAAUUCCACGUGUAGCGGUGAAGUGCGUAGAGAUGUGGAGGAACACCAGUGGCGAAGGCGACUCUCUGGUCUGUAACUGACGCUGAGGAGCGAAAGCGUGGGGAGCGAACAGGAUUAGAUACCCCGGUAGUCCCUGUCUCUUAUAC